rnacentral:rRNA from 1 species
GUCUACAUCCAUACACUGUGAAUGCACCUGACCUUGUCUGAUCUCAUAAGCUAAGCAGGGUUGGUAUUGGUUAGUACUUGGAUGGGAGACCCUCUGUGUAUACUGGGUACUAAAGGAGAGA